GACGAACGCUGGCGGCGUGCCUAAUACAUGCAAGUCGAGCGAAGUUUUUCUGGUGCUUGCACCGGAAAAACUUAGCGGCGAACGGGUGAGUAACACGUAAAGAACCUGCCUCAUAGACUGGGACAACUAUUGGAAACGAUAGCUAAUACCGGAUAACAGCAUUAACUGCAUGGUUGAUGUUUAAAAGUUGGUUUUGCUAACACUAUGAGAUGGCUUUGCGGUGCAUUAGCUAGUUGGUGGGGUAAAGGCCUACCAAGGCGACGAUGCAUAGCCGACCUGAGAGGGUGGUCGGCCACACUGGGACUGAGACACGGCCCAGACUCCUACGGGAGGCAGCAGUAGGGAAUCUUCCGCAAUGGGCGAAAGCCUGACGGAGCAACGCCGCGUGAGUGAAGAAGGAUUUCGGUUCGUAAAGCUCUGUUGUUAGGGAAGAAUGAUUGUGUAGUAACUAUACACAGUAGAGACGGUACCUAACCAGAAAGCCACGGCUAACUACGUG
rnacentral:rRNA from 1 species